rnacentral:miRNA from 1 species
CCUCCGAAGUUUCCUUCAGGAUAGCUGGCACUCUCGCAUGACCACCCAGUUUUAUCUGGUAAAGCGAAUGAUUAGAGGUCUCGGGGCCAAAACGAUCUCAAC